GAGGGUAUAGUUUAGUGUUAGAGAGUGCAUGCUUAGAAUACAUGAGGUCCUGGGUUCAAUCCCCAGUACCUCCA
rnacentral:tRNA from 1 species